CGCCAGACUCCUACGGGAGGCAGCAGUGGGGAAUAUUGCACAAUGGGGGAAACCCUGAUGCAGCGACGCCGCGUGAGUGAAGAAGUAUUUCGGUAUGUAAAGCUCUAUCAGCAGGGAAGAAGUUGACGGUACCUGAGUAAGAAGCCCUGGCUAACUACGUGCCAGCAGCCGCGGUAAUACGUAGGGGGCAAGCGUUAUCCGGAUUUACUGGGUGUAAAGGGAGCGUAGACGGCAGUGCAAGUCUGAAGUGAAAGCCCCGGGCUUAACCCGGGAACUGCUUUGGAAACUGUACGGCUGGAGUGCUGGAGAGGUAAGCGGAAUUCCUAGUGUAGCGGUGAAAUGCGUAGAUAUUAGGAGGAACACCAGUGGCGAAGGCGGCUUACUGGACAGUAACUGACGUUGAGGCUCGAAAGCGUGGGGAGCAAACAGGAUUAGAUACCCGUGUA
rnacentral:rRNA from 1 species